ACAGUAUCUCUUUUGACUGAAAUUCAUAAUAAGAUUGUAAAAGAUUGUGAAACUCAAAUUAAAACAAGAAAAGCCAAAGCAAAAAAGGGAUAUGAUACACCACAAACACUUAUCAUGUUCAAAGAAACAAACAAAUUGAAAGACAGGCUUUGCCAAGAAGAAAUUUAUUUCAACAAGAAACACAAAAAGAGAAAGGGAGAGAGAAAGAGAAAGAAGAAGGGAAAGAAAAAGGGAAAGAGAAAGAGAAAGAAAAAGAGAACAAAAAAGAGAAAGACAAGAAAUAGAACAAGAAAGAACUAAUAAGAGAAAAAUACAGAAAAAUCAACAAGAAAAUUCAAAUAAAAAAAGAAAAACAAGUAUUGAUGAUGAUA
rnacentral:rRNA from 1 species